UCUUACUAUUAAUACCUUUAGUAAAUACAUCAGCUAGUUGUUCACUACUAGGAACAAAAGGCACAAUGAUAAGAUCCAUAUCUAGCUUCUCUUUGAUGAAGUGUCGAUCGAUCUCCACAUACUUACAUAUGCCCAAUUUGUAAAUAAUAGGAUGAAACGUCUUACUAUUAAUACCUUUAGUAAAUACAUCAGCUAGUUGUUCACUACUAGGAACAAAAGGCACAAUGAUAAGAUCCAUAUCUAGCUUCUCUUUGAUGAAGUGUCGAUCGAUCUCCACAUACUUACAUAUGCCCAAUUUGUAAAUAAUAGGAUGAAACGUCUUACUAUUAAUACCUUUAGUAAAUACAUCAGCUAGUUGUUCACUACUAGGAACAAAAGGCACAAUGAUAAGAUCCAUAUCUAGCUUCUCUUUGAUGAAGUGUCGAUCGAUCUCCACAUACUUACAUAUGCCCAAUUUGUAAAUAAUAGGAUGAAACGUCUUACUAUUAAUACCUUUAGUAAAUACAUCAGCUAGUUGUUCACUACUAGGAACAAAAGGCAUAAUGAUAAGAUCCAUAUCUAGCUUCUCUUUGAUGAAGUGUUGAUCGAUCUCCACAUACUUGGUUCGAUCAUGUUGGACAAAGUUGUGAGUAAUGCUAAUGAUAGAUUUGCUGCCACAAAAGAGCUUUAUAGGAAGGGCGGUGGGGAUAGCCAAAUCUGUGAGAAGACCAUGAAGCCAUAGAAGCUUACAAAUGCCAUGUGCCAUAGCACGGAACCUGCUUUGGCACUUGAAUGGGCAACCAUAGCUUGCUUCUUGCUUCGCCAUGUAACAAGGUUACCACCAACAAAGGUGCAACAACCAAUAGUAGACCUGCGGUCAUCAGAGGAACCUGCCCAAUCAGCAUCCAUGAAAGCCUCCACCCUAAGGUGAUCAUGAGGAGAAAAAAGAUGCCACGUCAUGGGGAAGAUUUCAAGUACCGAAGAAUACGUAACACAACUUCCAUGUGAGUUGAGUAGGGAUCAUGCAUGCACUGGCUAACUAUGCUGACAUAAAUGCUAUGUCAUGGAGUGUAUGAGAAAGAUAGAUCAAGCGCCACACUAAUCUUUGAUAUCUCCCGUUAUCCGCAAGAUCACCUACUCAGGUGACCGUUAGCUUCAAUAGGAGUGCCUACCAGCUUACACCUCAACAUGCCUAUCUCAGAAAGAAGAUCAAUCAGAUACUUUCUCUGAGACAAGUAGAUCCCACAAGACUUGACAAUUUCAAUGCCAAGGAAGUAACGAAGCUGUCCUAGAUCUUUGAUAUCAAAUUCCUCACUCAAGUAUCUUUUGAGGCGAGAGAUUUCUGCCAGAUCAUCACCGGUAACAAUAAUAUCAUCUACAUAGACUAUUAGGAUAGUAAUCUUCCCACCAGAUCUUUUGAUGAAUAGAGUGUGGUUGGUAUUGCUUUGAGAGUAGCCUGUAGCAACUAUAGCCUUAUGGAAACGCCCAAACCAAGCACAAGGGGAUUGCUUUAGCCCAUACAAUGCAUGUUUCAGCUUGCAUACCUUCCUUUGGGUUUUGGAGCAAGUGAACCCAGGAUGAAUGUCCAUAUACACUUCCUCCUCAAGUUCCCGAUGAAGGAAGACAUUUUUCACAUCUAACUACUGGAGAUCCCAAUCUAAGUUAGCGGCACAAGCUAAGAUAACACGAAUUGUGUUCAUCUUAGCAACUGGAGCAAAAGUCUCCUAGUAGUCAAUCCCAUAAGUCUGAGUGAAGCCCUUGGCAAUAAGUCUGGCCUUAUACCGAUCCACUGUACCAUCAGCCUUAUGUUUUACUGUGAAGACCCACUUACACCCAACUGUCUUCUUUUAUGAUGGAAGACAAACCCGAUCGCAUGUGUCAUUCUUCUUCAGAGCCUACAUCUCUUCAACUAUAGCUGCCUGCCAUUUCCACACUCGCUUCUUACCAGGUAUAGGGAAUGGAUACAGAGGAAACUGAAGACAUAAAACCAUAGCAGGAAGGAGAAAGUGAGUUAUAAGAAACAGUUUUAGCAAUAGGAUGUAAAGUACAAGACCUAGUGUCUUUACGAACAGCAAUAGGCAGCUCAAGGGAUGGAUGAACAGAAAGAGAACUGGCAUGGCAGGGUAGAUGUUGGAUGUGUAGUGGUCUAAGUCUGCUGUCCACGACUAUAAACACGUAUCUCUGGCCGAGGCAAUGCAGGAGUGUCACUCUCCCCUUGAAACGGGAUACUGGCAAGGAUAACAAGUUCAAGAGGCGGCCAUCUUCCACAAUGGAAGGUGACUCCUCCUGAAGGUGUCAUAGUGUAUUAAGAUGCAGAUUCAUGAAAGACAAUAUCCAUAGUCACAAACCAACGCUGAGUGGGAGGAUGAAAACACUGAUAACCUUUCUGAGUAGGAGCAUACCUUCGAAAAAUGUAGUAGAGACCACGAUGAUCAAAUUUUCCAUGAGGAUGAUGAUCACGUGUAUAGCAAACACUACCGAAUACCUUAGGAGGAACAGGAAAAGCAACGGAACUUUGGAGAAGAUCCAGAGGGAAGCUGAAGGAAUGGACUUGAGAAGGCAUUCGGUUGAUAAGAAAGGCAGUAGUGAGAAUUGCGUCACUCCAGUAUUGGGGAAGAACAUGCAUCUCAAACAUAAGAGAGCAUGCUACCGCACAAAGGUGGCGAUUCUUCCACUCAGCAACCCCAUUCUAAGCCGGAGUAUCCACACUAGUCUGAUGGAUCAUCCCAUGAUUGGAAAGGUAAGCCUGAAAGGACCCUUCAAAGUAUUCAUGACCAUUGUCGCUUCGAAAGAUCUUAAUGGUAGCAUUGAAUCGAGUUUACAGUGAAACAGCUGAAAGCAAUAGAGGGUCUCGCCCUUAGUUUGCAUCAUAUAAACCCAAGUGGUCCAAGAAUGACAAUUAAUAGAAGAGACAAACCACCGAUAACCAUUGAUAGACACAUAGCGGGAUGGACCUCAGAUAUCAAAAUGUAUCAAUGAAAAAGGAGUCACUUUCAUUUCUAGAAACAAAAUUAGUGAUAUGGGUUUUUUUGGCCAAAACAUAUGCCUCACAAAAAAGCUUACUCGAGUUACAAUUUUUAAAAGAAGGAAAAACCCUAGCUAAAGUUCUUAAAGGGGGAUGUCCCAAUUGAAGAUGCCACUGUAGUAACUCAGAGAUGGGAGGUGACGUUGAAGAAGUCUGAACUCUGAAGAGCCUGACUAGAGACCCAUGUUGAGUCAUCAUCAAGUAGAUAUGGACCACCACACACCCUACUAGAGCCAAUCGUUGUCCUUGUCACUAGAUCCUAAAAAACAUAAUGAGACGGGAAAAAUGUGACUUUGCAAUUAAGACGGGAAGUAAGACUAUUAAUAGACAAAAGGUUUGUGGGAAAAGAAGGAAUACGCAAUACAAUAGAGAGGGAUAAACAAGGGGUACAUCUAACAGAGCCCUUUCCCAAAAUAAUGGAAUAAGUCCCGUUAGCCAACUUGACCUUACCAUUACCAAGGUAGGUAGUGUACUGUGAGAAAAGAUGCAAGUAGCCUGGCAUAUGAUCAGAAGCCCCAGAGUCUAUAGUCCAAGGGGUAGAAGGGACAAACAUAGUAUAGCCACAGAAGGAGAUACUUGACCUAGAAGGGGUGAAAUGAGCAGACCUCGCAGUGGUUGGUGCAAAAGACUCUGGAUGUGUCAAAAGGAGACGGAGGGUAGUAAGCUUAUCAGAUGAUAGCGAGGUUGCUGAAGUGCUAGGAGUAGAGUCAGAGUCAGAGUCGGGGCUCUCAGUAUGGCUAGCUUGCCCAAGAGUACCGGCAUGACCCUUCCCUCACCUUUUGCCAGAUGUAUCAGCAAGACGACCAUUAAGCUUCCAACAGUGCUCCUUGGUGUGAUGCUUCUUCUCAUAGUAAUCGCUCUUCAUUGGAGUCCUGGUAGAGUAGCCACUAGACUAUGGAGCUUCACUAAGGGACUGAGUGCUAGAGACAAGUGCAGAUCUCUCAGUAAGAAUGGCAGCAAGCUAUGGAAGCAUAGUGGUACGUCGGUUAUUCUCAAGUUGGAUCACAACAUAGGCUUGAUCCAAGGUAGGAAAGAGGUCACAACUCUAAACCUAGGACCGCAGCUCAUCAGACUCCACAUUCAGACCUGCCAGAAAGGCAUAAACUUGGAUAUUGUCCUCUCGCUUAUGAAAACUAGUGACAACUGUAAGGGUGGAAGGAGUAUACUACUCAUAGAAGUCCAGCUCAGUCCACAGUGUCCGCAGCUUGUAGUAGUACUGUGACAGAGUGAGCCCUCUUUGCCUUAGAUCACGAACCUUUUGGCGAAGCUCAAAUACUUUAGCAUUAUUCUCCACCUGGGAAUAGAUAUCCUGGACAGACUUCCAGAUCUUCGCAGUGGAGUCAAGGAGGAGAUAGCCAUAUGAAAGCUGUGGCAACAUGGAGUUGACAAGGAAGGCCAUAACCAGAGAGUUGGCAAACUCCCACUUGCCAAUCUUAGGACCAGUGGUUGGACUCUUCGAGGUUCCAGUGAGGUACCUGUAAUAGCUAUGAGACUUAAUGGAGAUGCAGACCGAGCGUGACCACAUCAGGUAGUUUGUGCCAUCAAGCUUGAUAGCACAAAAAGGAAAGGUAAGAAGAGCCAUGAUGCCUCUGCCAAUGAAAGUAGAUGAAGAGAGAUAGAGGGAGGCACAAAUGGAAGGAGGCGCUGGAAGAGAGAAACGAGAAAGAAAGAGAUGGAGAAGAGGGAGAACACUUGUGUUUCGGAUCCUAUGGCUCUGAUACCAUGUUGGAUGGGGUAAUGACUUGUGUCAAACAUGAUACCACCUCUAUUUAUAAUAAUUGAGAGAAAGUUCUAGAGAAUUACAAAGACCAUUAAACCCCUUAGGGUCUAUUAAGCAACUGAAAUUUUCCCUAAAGCCCAUUAUUAUAACAAACAUUGGUAGCCAUAGAGCGCUCCAUACUAUUCCAUAGCCAGCAAAGUACUGUAACAUAGCUGUCCAUUCAGGAUACUCAAGAUCAAUCGUAGUGGGUGGUGGUUUAGUUAGGAAAUCCAUUUUUCGUUUGGUAGUGAUAUAAACCCGAACGGUAACCGUGUCUACAAGGGCUUUUGAGUCACCCAUGGCUUGUACGAUACUCUACGGUACCCAUCAAUACGUUUAUUUGCCCGAAUGAAUGAAAGUUUAAGGGUAUCAGUACGUAUCGAACCGUAUCGGCAGAUACAAUACCUAUAUAGCUUGAUAUGUGCAAUCCUUCUCUUUAAAGGGGUAGAUGCCUUUCAUGAAACCAGAAUCGUGAAAAGAGAGACCGUUGUUAUUUGGGAAAAAUCACCAGUACUUCUUGGAUUAAACUGAGAUCAGGCUUCACCAAUAAUAGGCAAGUGCACAACAUCAUCCUAGUCGCUCAUAUUCUGAAAGAACCAAAUCCUAUAUAACUAUUUCAAUUGAAUGCACUUGUCUCUUAAUACGGUGUUAUCCAUUUUAGUUUCACGACCCAAACCCAGAUACAGGUAAAGAUACAACCCUCACGGGCGCUGAUCAAACGAUCGACAAAUACCAACAAACCAUCCAUAACAAGCUUCAUAAAUUCAAAUCUCAAACUAAAUAAUCAACUGUUAUAAAUCUCAAGUGUUCCUACUGGUGGCAAUUUAAGGUAUGUCCCAGUUAAAAUUCGAAAUCUAUAUUAUUAGAGUUUACCUCUGAUUGUCAUCACUACAUCCAUCUAAGAAAACAUAAAUAAUAACUAAUAAAUAAAUCUUUGAGUCCUCGAAUUCCGCUUUAAGCAAUGCUCCAUCUCAAUUAUCUGUGAUUUUAAAAUAAUGGAUUAAGCUAGUUCAAUAAGGGAAAAUAGUAAGAGCACAACGUAGAGCAAACAAUCAAACAAAAACAAUGGUUAGAACAAGCAGUUUAGUUUCUCAAAUCACACUUUUAAUAAAACACGAUCAUUUGUAAAUAUACCUUUUUAUCACACUUUAGCCGGCACUAAGGAAAAUAAGCUGCCGCUGCCCAUAAUAUGAGAGGGAAACUUGACCCCCACAAUCACACAAUCACAUUGUCGUCACCACUAUGACUAGAUAUACACCACUGUGCACAGUAGGUAUAAGUCCCGCAGCUAACGGAACACCCCUCUCUAGUUUGGUAUGGAGCAGUCUAUUUAUCCUCACGCACUUUUUUUUUUUUUUCACUUUCACAAAAUCUCACUUUCACAAAAUCACCUUUCAUAAAAUCACUUUCUUUUAGAAUGCACACAUGUGAAAACACUGGUAAAUCUCCAAAUAAGAAUCAACAUCAAUACACUUCAUACAAUAAUAUUCAUCUCCAUCAAAUAUCAAUCACCUCCAUAAACUCAUGUCACACAUAAACACAAUUCAAAUUAGCAUAAGUUAGCACAUCUCAACGGUACAAGCAUACCAAACAUAACAAUAUAAAAUCAAACCACACACAUGUGGUGUAAUCCCACUAUAAUCCACUUACGUCAGUCUGCAUGUUUCCUACUUUCAUUUUUUGAGCUUUGAAUGCUCAAGUCAAUCACCACCUACAAUUAGGUACACUUCCUAUUAAUCUCCUAGUUCAAUACCAAUUCAAAUACCUCACUUUCCCCUUAAAAGUCAACUAAAAAUACCACCCUCUCAAAUGGUGGUCAAACUUUAGGAAUCAAUCCCCCUCGACACAUAUUAUCACCCUUCUGAAGAUGAGUAUGAUUGGUCGAGUAAUUUAUGAGUAAUUAGAACAGCUCAAAUCUCAAGAUGCAAUUUUCAAAUUUCAGUAAAUCUGAAAUUACUAUUCUGUUGAUCAGAUGCCCACAAAUUCGGAUUGCAACCGCCCAUAUGACAACUCUACUAACCCCCAAAGUAUGCCCAAAAGUUAACUUCUGGAUUAAAAGUAAUUGGGAAAUACAGUUUCAGGUCUCUCAAUUUUCCCCAAUUUGACGGGUUUUUAAGUAACAUUCAAACCGAGAGUUAGAUCCUCUCCCAGAGUGGAUCGAUUCUCACUCUAUGGGAGGGGAACCUAUGGUCAAAAUAUAGGCCUCAACCCAUGGCUAGAUUUGAAGUAAUUCAAAAAUCAAGAUUUGGUCAAGAAUAAACACUUAUAAUUAUCCAAUAAAGAACUGAUGUUGGGGACCUUCGUUGGGCCCAAAUUAUAGUCAAUUGCCCAUCCUAGGUACAAUAUCGAAGCUCUAAAAUCUCAUCUAAAACCGACUAGUAUUGGGUCCCAAAGAACACCCUAUCAGUAUUGGGCCCCACGAUUUGGGUCUUAAGAAAAGAAUAUUAGAUUUGGGUCCAUUAUUGGGUCCCAAGUAAAGAAUAUUAGAUUUGGGUCCCAAGUAAAGAAUCCCACAUAAAGAUCACUAGAUUACCUGAUUAGUUUGAUUUGGGUCCCAAGUGAAUCAUUGAAUCAGUUACUUAGAAUCAAAGUUAACUCCAAGGUUUUGGGGGUGGAAACCAACAACUAUUAGGAAUUAGGGACUACAACCCAGUUCAAGAAUCAUAAUUAGUGAAGAUUUUGACUUACCUGAUGUUUUGGAUCAAAAUAAGAUAGAAGAUCUAUCGAAGUAAGUCCUGCAGCCUCCCUUCUCCAAUUGUAGUACAGAUUACAGCGAAAAAUCCCCAAGAAAAGGUAAAUCUUGAUUCUCUCUCCUCUCUUUCUCCUCCCUUUCUUUCUUUCUUUCUUUCUUUCUCUCCUACGUUCCUAUUUCUUUCCCUCCCUUCCUCUUCUUUUAUAGCUCACAAUCCCCUUUCUCCUACUCCCUCUCUAUCUUUCUUUGUCUCAACCUAGGACAGCAUCUUUCUUUCCUUCUUUUUUUCUAACUCUCUCUCGGGUGGACUCUCUUUCCCCUCCUACGAUUUGCUUAUUUAAGAUGAGGACCACAACAACUUAAAACAAAAGAACAAGAAAGAAUCUUUGAAAUAAAACCCCUCCUUAACUUACUACUAACAGUAACAUGAUUUGAACCUAGGACCUCUAGUUAGAUAAUGUAACAACCACUAGGCUAACCCUCCUUUAGCUGUUAACUAGGCCCACAAGUUAAGUUUUUGAAGUAUAACAUACACAUCAGUCCCUAAAUAUCCCAUUGUCCAUACAGACCCUACAAGUUAAAAAAAAAACAACUAAUAAGUUAUAAAUUUUGAGGCAUUACAUUUAGUGUUUAUGCAUGAUAUUUGUUAUAUAUGUAUAUAUAUAUAUAUUUUUUUUUAUACUCUUUCUUUCUUUUUUUAUUUUUUUGCUUAAGUGUAUAAAAUUAUGUAUCCUGUCCAUUUAUGUGCGUCUCUUAGUGUUCUCCGAUAUGAUACAAUACCCUUUGAUACAUAUCUUAAAUUUAGCCGACCAAUACAGCAACCAAUACCAAUAGUUUAAUCCUUGGUUACAAUAUAUAUAUAUAUAUAUAAUAAAGGGAGGAGGUUAGGUAUGCUGCAGACUUUCUUAGAUUUAGUGGCUCAACUAAUGGGAGGGCUGGGAUAGGAGGGGCAUAGGGGACUUUUCAAAAGGGUAGAGGAGAGAUAUAGACACAGAUCUGGGUAUACUGGCAGCAUACCCAGCCUUUUCCCAUAUAUAAAUUCAGAGAACACUAGGUGCAGCCCCAAUGUAAAAAUCCAAUCACCAGCACAUAAAACAGUAUAUAUAGUGGCUCACUUGAACUGGAAAAAGUGAAUAAAGAUUGGUUCUAACAACUUAGAGAUAAAUCUGAUAGUCAUUCAGAUGCAGAAGUAUAAAUAAAAUCUGAUAAUCAGAUAUAGUAGUGACUGAUUAAGGUCUGAGAACAAUCAGCGAUCCUUAAGGCUACUUUUAAGGAGGGGAUUCAUUCUCUUUUAUUCCAUUUAGCAUCCUUGAACAUAUUAUUUUUGACCUAUCUGGAGGACCUCUCCUUACUGGGGGUUCAAAAGUAUUCUGGGAUCUGUAGGAGGGCCUCUCCUUUGCGGUUGGAUUAAAUAAACGUUACUACAAUCAAGGCAAAUGACACCGAUUGAGAUGUAAAUAGAUGGUUCGAGGAAAAGUGAGGGGAUUAGAAUACACCCUUCUUCCUGAUCCCACAGCAUGUCAGGCAGCACUUUUCUAUUGAGCUGCAGGCUUACAUCCCUAUUAGAAUACACCCUUCUUCCUGACCCUACAGCGUGUCAGGCAGUGCCUUUCUAUAGAGCUGUAGGUACAGUUAUUGGCUGCCUAUCUGAUUCUAUGUGAGGUAGGUCAGUUGAACUAAAGCCUUACAUAAACAAUUUAUAACUUACUUAAUACAGUCUUACAGCCCUGAUGUGAAUUAACUCUGGUAUGAUGAUUUCCAGGGGGCUUUUGUAUGGAGUUGCAAAGCACUGGUUUCAGAG